UCGUGAUAUGCUUGUCUCAAAGAUUAAGCCAUGCAUGUGUAGGUAUAACCCGUAUACCGGAAGACUGCGAAUGGCUCGGUAAAUCAGUUAUAGUUUAUUUGAUAGUGCAGCUACUCGGAUAACCGUAGUAACACUAGAGCUAAUACGUGCGUAAAUCCCGACUUUUGGAAGGGACGUAUUUAUUAGAUUUAUGGCUAACCGGGCUUGCCCGACCAGCGGUGAAUCAUGGUAACUUGACGGAUUGCAUGGCCUCCGUGCCGGCGACGUGUCAUUCAAGUUUCUGCCCCAUCAGGUUUCGACUGUAGUGUAUUGGACUACAGUGCCUAUAACGGGUAGCGGAGGAUUAGGGUUCGAUUCCGGAGAGGGAGCCUGAGAAACGGCUACCACAUCCAAGGAAGGCAGCAGGCGCGCAAAUUACCCAAUCCCAAUUCAGGGAGGUAGUGACAAGAAAUAGCAAUGCGGAGCUUCGUGUUCUGCAAUUGGAAUGAGCACAAUCUAAACCACUUAACGAGUAUCAAUUGGAGGGCAAGUCUGGUGCCAGCAGCCGCGGUAAUUCCGGCUCCAAUAGCGUAUAUGUAAGUUGUUGCGAUUAAAAAGCCCGUAGCUGAACCUCGGGUAGCCCUGACGGUCCGCCUAUGGUGAGUACUGUCGUGGGCUGCCUUUCUGCUGGGUGCCGUAUCCGGCGUUCACUCGCCGCGAACGGAGCCCAGCAGGGUUACUUUGAGUAAAAUAGAGUGUUCAAAAGCAGCAUGUGCUGUGGAUACACUAGCAUGGGAUAACACGACA
rnacentral:rRNA from 1 species